CAUAGGCACCUCAGGUAAUCACACUGUGCGAAGGGGGCUCUUGCAGGCGGAGGACAUGGUGGAAUGGUGAAGAGGCGGUAUGGUAGCCGUUGGUGUAUGGCUGGGCAGAAUUUGGAAACCCUAGUUUUGGUUUUUACGGGAAACCAGGAUUAGGAAACUCUAAUUUUGGCUCUUACCGGAAAUCCAGUAUUAGGAGAACCUAAUUUGGGUGUCUUACAGGAAACCAUGGUUUCCGAUCCCGCCCAUGCCGUGUACCCAUGGCUUCUAUCCCCUUUUCAUAACCCACUUAAGUUUCCCGAUCCCGCCCUUGCCGUUUACGCACGGCUUCUCUCCCCUCUUCAUGGUCCACUCCAGCUCUAAUCUAGGAUUUAGGGUUUCUGAGGUUUUUUCUAGGAUUUCUUUUCAGGAUCCACGCCAGCUCUCUUCUAGGAUUUAGGGUUCAUAAUCCACUUGGGUUUCCCGAUUCCGCCCAUGCCAUUUAUUCACGGCUUCUAUCCCCUCUUCAUGAUCCACCGCUGCUCUUAGGUUGUUUUGUGAUGAUUUGGGUUUUCUGGGUGGUUUUAGGUUUAUAUGCUGGAUAGGUGGAUUUUAGAUUUUGAGAAUUCUUCAUUGAUCUUUCAAGGCUUUUAAGGGUUAUAUUGGCUGUUUUACUGUUUCUGGGCAUUUGAUGGGUAUGGGUUGUAUGGUGGAUAUUAGGAUUUAUGUGCGAAGGUGUUUCUGAGGGUUUUUUUCAUAAUCUGCUUGGUUUCCGAUUCCCCCCAUGCCAUAUACUUGCGGCUUCUAUCCUCUCUUCAUGAUCCACCGCAGCUGUGAUCUACUAUUCGCCCUUUCUCAGUUUCCCUGAUUUGGGGUAAUUGAGAGUUUUAGUUUUGGGGUUCAGAAUUAGUCUUCUAUUUUAUUUUUUUUUCUUUAUUUUUUUGUUUGCCAUUUAUAUGGAUCGUGGAUGAGUUUUUACUUACUCAUGGGGUGCCCCGUUCCUCAUCUGGAUUAACUUACCACUUGCUGCACAGUCAAUGGAUUCCCUGUUACACAUUUAUUGAAUUUGAAAAUUUGUUAUACAAAGAGUAUGAAGACGAAGCUCAAUUUGCAGUUGCUUAUGAAGAUGAAGCUCAAUUUGCAGUUGCUGGAUAUAGGUUUUGGGCCCUCUUGGGCUAUUAUCUCUCUUUGCCUUUUUUAUGUUUCUCCAUUUUCUAUCCUGUUUUCGUUUAUUCACUAGCGUUUGUUACUGCACUCUCUUUCUCUCAUUGUAACUCUUUCAUUUGUAGUCUGAGCACCAAACCUGGGGGACCUGCUUUUUUUGUGUAAUGUGAUGUAAUAUAUUAUUUGAUUCAUAUGUUUUCCUCGAAAAUAAAAGUUGAGCUCAUUUACUUCAAUUGAAAAUUCUUUGAAUAAAGCUAAUGAAGUUGAAAAA